ensembl:misc_RNA 7SK 7SK RNA
GGAUGUGAGGGCUAUCUGACUGGGACAUCUGUCAUCCCAUUGAUCGCCAGGGUUGAUUCGGGCUGAUCUGGCUGGCUAGGUGGGUGUCCCCUUCCUCCCUCGCCUCUCCUCCCAGAAGCUGUGCUCUGGAUUGAAGAAGAUGACCUUCCCCUAAUAGAGACAGACCGAUCUUCGAUUGAGGGUAUAAGAGUAGCUGACCUCCCCUGCUAGAACCUCCAAACAAGCUCUCAGGGAAGGGAGACACAAGAGCAGUAAGGCUGCUUAUUCAACUGGGUCACUCCCUGUGACAGG